rnacentral:lncRNA from 1 species
AGUUUCUUGUCCGCGAUACACCUUAUGCUAUGGGUAGCUCAGGCAGCAGUAACUGCUUUUUGGCUAGUGGCUCCUAGUACUGUAGCCGCAUGCAGGUCAGAAAGCUUCAAUCAGCAUCUGGUACUUUAUCCGAGUAUGAGAAUUUCUAGUUUACACAUGGAUCACUUAUAGGUUCGGUUUUGGUAGAGCUUUUUCAUUCUACCUUUCAAUUUUCCUGCAGUUGAAUAUGUAAUGUCAACAAUCCUUGGACUGCUAAAUCUAUGUGGCUGAAGUCUGCUUUACAGUCUCGAAGAUAGUUGCUGUGCUUAUUCCUAGCAGAGAUCCAAAGAAGAAAACCAAGACCAUAAGAAGAUGCAGCAGAAGCAUAGUAGGUGAAAUCAUUUGUUGUCUGUUUUCUCUUACGUUUACAUGUGAGAUAGAUGGCACAUCUUAUAAGUCACAAAUGAGUUGAAAAGGCACUGUCUCAAGUGCCUUACCUACUUUGCAAAUAUGUUAGUUUAACAAUGUUCUUUUAGGGAAUAGUCAAAGCAAUAAGUUGUAAAAGUACUUUAUAUAUCCGAGUAUGAGAGUUUCUAGUUUACAACACGGAUCACUUAUAGGUUUGGUUUUGGUAGAGCUUUUUCUUUCUACCUUUCAAUUUUCCUGCAGUUGAUAUGCAUUGUCAACAAUCCUUGGACUGCUAAAUCUAUGUGGCUGAAGUCUGCUUGACAGUCUCGAAGAUGGUUGCUGUGCUUACUCCUAGCAGAGAUCCAAAGAAGAAAACCAAGAGCAUAAGAAGAUGCACCAGUAGAAGCAUAGUAGGUGCAAAUCAUUUGUUGUCUGUUUUCUCUUAUGUUUACAUGUGAGAUCGAUGGCACAUCUUUGUAUGAGUAACAAAUGAGUUAAAAGGCAGAGUCUCAAGUGCCUUACCUACUUUGUAAAUAUGUUAGUUUAAGAAUGUUCUUUUAGGGAAUAGUCAAAGCAAUAAGUUGUACACUAUCCUUUUAGCAAUAAGUUGUACAAUAUCUUUUGAAUAAGAAAAUGUAAGAUAUCCUCUUCUAGUGUUUGUUUGUCUCUCUUUCUUUGGUAAAAUUAAUUGAUCUUUGCCUAGAUACUUGUAAUAAAAGUAAUUGCUGUUCUUAAGAAUGGUACAGUAUAACCAUUUAUAAUUUGAAUAGAAGGGAACUGUAUU